rnacentral:lncRNA from 1 species
GCUUAGAGUCACUUUUUUCCACACCAAGAUGAUAAAUGCAUCCACCCAGAUUUUAUUCCAAUAUGUACACGGUUUUAUGUUUGUUCAGUCCCUGAUCCAUCUAGAAUUUAUUUAUUUAAUUUAUGUGUAGGGUUUUCCUUCAGUGCAUCAUCAUAUUAAACCAUCCCCCCCCCCACAAAUAUGAAGUGCUACCUUCACCGUUUAUCCAAGUGCCAUGUGGACGCUACUCUAAGGGAGGGGACACACCCUGUGGCACAUCACACAUCUUAGAGUGGUUCGGGCCUGCGGGGAAGCACAACUGUGGGUAAGAGGCAGAAGGUGCCUCUGUGUGCAGCUGUCCGAUGGAGACCGGGGGUUGGGGUUCAUGGAUGACGUCAUAAUCAGUGGGGGAGUUCUGUUCGGAACCUCAGAGACGUUAGGCGAGGCCUCUGAGCUACUUCUGUGGACUGCUGCACUCUGAAGACAAGCCUACUUCUCUGGCUCCUUUGGACGCUGUCGCUGAGUCAGGAGGGGUCGGGGAGCCAAAGACUCCAGCCGGGAACACAGGCUUGGUAAGCGGAAAUCGGGCUGAGGUGGGGCGACCGGGAGGAGAGGGUAGGGCAGGGGGGCAGGGGCGCAAGGGGGCUCUUCUGUGCCUUAGAGCAAAGCCCGGAGGAGGCCGGGACACCAGGCUGCGGGGGUGCGCGGGGAGGCCCCGCGGGGCAGAGAGCACUGUGACUUCUGGGAUGGAUGAGGCAGGGAGUAUAAAAGGAGAAUGGAGGGUGACAGCCCAGGUUUGGGGGAGAACAAGAGCUGUGAGCUGCAGCCUUGGGUAGGGAGGCCGGGGGUGG